rnacentral:rRNA from 1 species
GACGAACGCUGGCGGCGUGCCUAAUACAUGCAAGUAGAACGCUGAAGGAGGAGCUUGCUUCUCCGGAUGAGUUGCGAACGGGUGAGUAACGCGUAGGUAACCUGCCUGGUAGCGGGGGAUAACUAUUGGAAACGAUAGCUAAUACCGCAUAACAGUAGAUGUUGCAUGACAUUUGCUUAAAAGGUGCAAUUGCAUCACUACCAGAUGGACCUGCGUUGUAUUAGCUAGUUGGUGAGGUAACGGCUCACCAAGGCGACGAUACAUAGCCGACCUGAGAGGGGGAUCGGCCACACUGGGACUGAGACACGGCCCAGACUCCUACGGGAGGCAGCAGUAGGGAAUCUUCGGCAAUGGACGGAAGUCUGACCGAGCAACGCCGCGUGAGUGAAGAAGGUUGUCGGAUCGUAAAGCUCUGUUGUAAGAGAAGAACGAGUGUGAGAGUGGAAAGUUCACACUGUGACGGUAUCUUACCAGAAAGGGACGGCUAACUACGUG